CAGCGGCGUAGAUGAAGAUAAUGAUGUGAGUGCAGAAGGUUUCACAGAGGCUUCGUCUUCUCACGUAGGAAGGAAACACUCUGGCAUUCUGCAGCACGACUGUGGACGACCUCUUGGAAUCAUGGGACACACGGGGCGGGUGAUGAAGUUAUAGUGAAACCGCCGACUCUGUACAAGGUUGAAGAGCGUGUUGAAGUCGGGGAUGAUGACGUGCCUGUCUUCCAUCUUGCGCCGCAUGUUUUUAAUGGCGUGGAUGGAGGUCUCGUAGUAGGCCUGAGAGCGGCGUCGCGGCGGGAAACCCUUCAGCCACACGCAGCACGUCUCACACAGCUUAUUAAAGACCAGACGAGCCAAUUUCACCGCCUCGAUCUCUGCACAAGGACACACACACAUGCAACACACAUCACACACACAUACAACACACAUGUUCCAGUGCUAGUGCUGCAAAAUCUAAAGACACAGUUCAGGCUUGUGAAGGAUCACAGCACGGUUACCAAAGUUCAAAAAGGCUAAGAAGAGAGAAAAAGUCUGUGUGUGUGUGUGUGUGUGUGUGUGUGUGUGUACUCGAAUGUGAGAAUUGAGGACAUGAGCAAAAGAGGACAUCUGCAAAGAGAGACAGAUACACGGACAGACAGAGAGAAAGUACGGCUGAAUCGUCUUCUCUCCGCUCCCGUAGCAACACGAGGCCAUCGACGGAUGCUGCUCGUAACCAUGACGACGUAACUAUGACAACAAACGGUGGCGACAGAGCAGCAGGAGGAGAAAACGUGCUGAUGUCCAAUGCAGAGGACUCUGGCUUUAGGGUUAAAGCAGCAGGAUGAAGAUGUUCACUGUGAGGAGUCAGACAGCGUUUUCUUGUUUUCUGUAAAACUACAUGCAUCGUUUCCUUCAUUAAUCGAGUUACCAGUUAAAUUUGUGAUGAUGAUUCCAUAUAAAACCUACAGACGUUCAACCCCUCGAUCUACAGAGAUCUCACUGAAGAGAAUCUCAGACGCAUGGAGAAGUCAGAACUCUCUCACACCUCGUGGUUCAGGGCUUCCGUAAUCAGACAAUCUGAAAUCAUACAGCAUGAAAAGAUAACCGGACGUGCUCGAUAACGUCCUAAUGUUCCUCACAGAAACCAGGACAUGUUUCUGAACAGCGCUGUAGAUGUUCUGAAGGCUCUACUGCUGCGCCACUCGGGAGCCGACGGGUUUUUCAUCCGACAAAAUCUGUUCAUGAACAGAGUGACAAUGUUUAAGAAUCUUGUUUUAUAAGCCUGGUUUAAUCUCUCUCUCAUCAGACAUGUUCCUUAAGGAGAGCCUCUAGCUAUGCGCUACUCCAAUACUCCACACAGGAGCGAUUAUUCUGCAGGACCCAGAUGGACCGUACCAUCUCUGAACCACAGCUCUCUAACACACACACACACACACACACACUCCCAGUGGGAGCUGACCUUUAAACACUCAGACACCCGGGGAGCCAAGAGAGACCUCAACUAUCGAACGAGGAGAUGGCGUCCGGUGCAUUUGUGUGUCCCUGCAGUCUAUUUGCCAAACAAAUGCCUUUAUUUUUUUCCCCUCCACAUUAUGGAAAGCAGCGGCUUGGCUGAGGCACGACACGUCACGUCACGAGCGGGAAUCCCACUCGGCAGCAGACAGGCUGAUGCUAUCUCUUACGCCUCGGAGAUCAUCAAUAAUGCAGCGCUCGGACUAUAAACAGAUCGGGAACAGGGCUCGACAUGUAGUGCUUUAAAAAUAUAAGUCACUUCCUAUUAAGGGAAGAAGCUUCAAUAUAAAAACACACCACUGUGAAAACCUUGAACAAUCUGACUGUCUGAAUGGUUACACAUCAAAAACACACAUUCAUAGUGUGAAUAUAUUUUUCAAAUAAAACCCUCAGCCCUCAACCUAGCACGGAAUAAAACACAUUUAAUCUUUCAUUACUAGAUUAAUUUUCGCAUGAUGGUGAUGGUGCUAAUGACGGUCAUCUGUUUGACUUUCUUUCAGCUCAAAAACGACUCAAAACGUCUGAUUUGGAUUCAGUGGAAGUUAAAAAGAACAGAAAAUUCCACACAGUAAUCUCUCAUAUGAUAUUUACUACCUCAGGAGUCGAAAUUUUCCGUUAGCAGGUUAGCAGUCAUGACACAAAGCUUCUGCUUCUUAUUAUGGCAGAACCCAUGAACGUUGCUUUAGCAGUCGGUGCUAAGUGCAAUUACAGUUCAAUUCUAGCUGUUCUGUAUCUUUUCUCACUAAUUUAUCAACACAUCUGAGGAAAAGUUGAUGUUCCUGAUAAUUCUGUCUCAUUUCCACAGUCACUUUGUCUUUAUAAAAGACUGUUCUAGCUAACCAAGUCUUCAUAUGUUCUGUGGUAUGUCCCAGUUGACUAGCAACUGUCUUGUGAUAUUCACCACUUCACCACAGAAGUGUAAAGUGUAUUUAUAAUGUCGUUUUAGUCAUUCUGAGUGUUUUAUUAAUAAUUUACCAACACAUCUAAGGUAAAUGUUGAUGUUCCUGAUAAUUCUGUGUUGUUUCACUUUCUUUACACUUUCUGUAUAAAAGACUUAACGGAUAUGUGCUAGCUAGCUAAAUCAUAAGCCUCAGAUAUCAGCUAGCUUAUGCUCUGGGUCUGUAUUUCCCAGUUGCCUAGCAACAGUGUUCUCACAACAUUAACCCAUUCCCAUUUUGUACAAAUUCACAGUUUUGUAUAUUCAUAGACACGUCGGAAAUAUAUGAUGGAAGAUGCAUCAGUGUUUUAGCAUGUACAG